UGGGGAAUUUUGCGCAAUGGGGGCAACCCUGACGCAGCAACGCCGCGUGGAGGAUGAAGGUUUUCGGAUUGUAAACUCCUGUCUUCAGGGAAGAAGUUGACGGUACCUGGAGAGGAAGCCCCGGCUAACUCCGUGCCAGCAGCCGCGGUAAUACGGGGGGGGCGAGCGUUGUUCGGAAUUACUGGGCGUAAAGGGCGCGUAGGCGGCCCAGGAAGUCUCGGGUGAAAGCCCCCGGCUCAACCGGGGAAGUGCCUGGGAAACCACUGGGCUGGAGUGCUGGAAAGGAAGGCGGAAUUCCCGGUGUAGCGGUGAAAUGCGUAGAGAUCGGGAGGAACAUCAGAGGCGAAGGCGGCCUUCUGGACAGACACUGACGCUGAGGCGCGAAAGCCAGGGGAGCAAACGGG
rnacentral:rRNA from 1 species